AGAGUUUGAUCCUGGCUCAGGAUGAACGCUGGCGGCGUGCCUAACACAUGCAAGUCGAACGGAGUUCUUAAGGAAUGCGACUUCGGUCAAAUGACUUUUGAACUUAGUGGCGGACGGGUGAGUAACGCGUGAGCAACCUGCCUUUCAGAGGGGGAUAACAUUUGGAAACAGAUGCUAAUACCGCAUAAGAUUACAGUACCGCAUGAUACAGUGAUCAAAGGAGCAAUCCGCUGAAAGAUGGGCUCGCGUCCGAUUAGAUAGUUGGUGAGGUAACGGCUCACCAAGUCGACGAUCGGUAGCCGGACUGAGAGGUUGAACGGCCACAUUGGGACUGAGAUACGGCCCAGACUCCUACGGGAGGCAGCAGUGGGGAAUAUUGCACAAUGGGCGAAAGCCUGAUGCAGCAACGCCGCGUGAGGGAAGACGGUUUUCGGAUUGUAAACCUCUGUUUUCGGUGACGAAUAAAUGACGGUAACCGAGUAGGAAGCCACGGCUAACUACGUGCCAGCAGCCGCGGUAAUACGUAGGUGGCAAGCGUUAUCCGGAAUUACUGGGUGUAAAGGGAGCGCAGGCGGGAUAGCAAGUCAGCUGUGAAAACUAUGGGCUCAACCCAUAAACUGCAGUUGAAACUGUUAUUCUUGAGUGGAGUAGAGGCAGGCGGAAUUCCGAGUGUAGCGGUGAAAUGCGUAGAUAUUCGGAGGAACACCAGUGGCGAAGGCGGCUUGCUGGGCUCUAACUGACGCUGAGGCUCGAAAGUGUGGGGAGCAAACAGGAUUAGAUACCCUGGUAGUCCACACUGUAAACGAUGAUUGCUAGGUGUGGGGGGUCUGACCCCCUCCGUGCCGGAGUUAACGCAAUAAGCAAUCCACCUGGGGAGUACGGCCGCAAGGUUGAAACUCAAAGGAAUUGACGG
rnacentral:rRNA from 1 species